UUUACUCAAUGAGGUAUUUCUGGCAUAUUUUAAAUAUGUGAAACCUGAAGGAAUAAAGAAACGUAAGUCCAAAGAGAUCGUAUUUCUCUCCUAUCCGUGUAUUUCUUUAUCAACUUGGUCAUGAUGCCUAACACCCUUAAAUAAGGGUUUUAUAUAAUUCCGUUGAGAAACAGAGUAGUCUCCAACCUUCCACAAUUUUAAAGAUCCUCAGAAUAAUCAUAUUGGGAUAAAAUUUGCUCAGGGAUUGAUUCAUAUUUCAAAUUUAUGGUGCUCUUCCCUAUUGAUUUUCACUCCCUGGGUGAUCUUGUCUGGUAUCAUGGCUUCAAAUACCAUCGAUGUGCUGACACUCCCAUUUUUAUAUCUCUGGCUUAGACCUUCCCUCUGAACUCCAGGUUAUAUACCCAGUUGCCUGAUUCACACCUCCACUUGGUGUCUAAAAUCUUAUUGAGCCUAACAUGUCCAAAAUAGAAUUCUCGUUAACCCCCACUAAACCUGAUACUUCCAAAGGCUUCUCCAACUCUGAAUGGCAACUUCAUUCUUGAGGUACUCAGUCCAAAAACUUGGCGCUAUUCUUUCUUCCUUCCUAUCUCACAGCCCAUAUUCAACUCCUCUCAGCAAUUCCUAUCAGAUUUACUUUUCAAAAUGUAUCUGAAAUCAGACCCCUCUGUGUGACCACUUUGUGCCACUGGUCCCAGCCACCGUCACCUUUCAUCUUAAUUAUUAUAAUAAUAUUCUAACUGGUCCCCCUGUUUGUUUACAGCAUAGAGUUUCCGCCAUGGUUCUUCUAAAAUGUAAAUCAGGGUGUGGCACCCCUCUGCUCAAACCUUCUGGGAUUUUCUGAAAAUAUGGACAGUAAAACAAAGCCUUUAAAAUGACCUACAAAUUUUGGAGUGCCUACAGCCUCCCUCACCUCUCUGUCCUCACUUCCUAACAGUUUCUCUUGUAUUCUGUUCAAGAUACUAGCCUGCUUGCUCUUCCUCCAUAAUGCCAGGCAUGCUGUAGUCUUGGUUCUCUGCACUUUUUGUUUCUUUUUCCUGUAAUGCUCUUUCGCCAGAUCCUCUGGAGGUGACCUUUUACACUUGUCUGUCAACAUUUAGAUUCUGAUUACUCCCUUCAUUGACAUCAUUGGACUAUGGACGGUAACAAAACUUGGAAUAAUGCACUGUUAGUUGUGAUUCCCUCUAUGUCUCAUCUUAGCAAACUGUCCUUUUGUAAUUAGGCUUGAAUUGUCCUAAUUUGAAUAUGCCAUCCUGCAAUGACCGUGAGUGACACAAUAAUUACCAUUAUAUUUAGCAUUUAUUGGUACUGUAAGGUAAUAGGCCUGCAAAAUGGGAUUCUGACAAUGAGUUUCUCUUAAAUUAAUAGAGCACAUGGAGAAUCGUCUUGCCAGGAGAAGGUGGGACAUAGGCACUCCAUGUAAUGAAAAGAUAUUUCUAUUACCCAGAUUAUCACUGAUGGUGAUAUAAAUGAUAUGCAGAUGGGGGACACGGCAGUGGGAGAUCACUGUGGCAACAAUGGGGACUAUAAAGAUUGCGAGUGAGCUGGUUUCUUCUCUCCCUCGAUAGCUUACUUAUUAGGGGGGAAAAUAAGAGAUAUAAACUUAUAUAACACACGUGGAGAGCCAGAUGGCCUCUAUGAAAGAUUUGAAGGAAUUCCUUAUCUCCUACUGUUGCAGGAUAUAUUUGGCUAAGGCACAAGCCCAGGAUCUGGUUGUAAGGGUUGAGGGAUUGCAGAGUUAAAUACUGAAGCCUGCCAGGUUUCUCUUCUAUGGCAACUGGUAGAAAGGGACCUGUACCCUGAAGCAGGGGAUUGGGACAUUUGAACACAUACUGGGCUGAGGAUUUUGACCCUCAAAAUUCUCCUGAAAUUUUCUUGCCUAGGGAGGUAGUGUCUGCCGCAUAGCUUUCCUCUAAGUAAUGCUCCUCUGCAUAAAAACUCUGUAGUUAUUGAACCUAAGGUGGUUGCCUCAUAACCUAAUGUUAAUUUUUCUCACAACCCAACCUCAGGCCUUGUCAUUCCUUCUAGACCUAAAAUGAGAAUUUUUUUUUUUUUUAACAACAUAGCACAGUUCGAGAAGCUCAAGACCUGCCUCCAGGAGAAAAGUGCAUAUAGAAAAGGACAGAAGAAUUGGCUAAUCUGUAUCAGCAGAUACAAUUGUGUGGAAUUCUAAAGGUUCUGUAGCAAGGGAAAAAACUAUAUGUUGGACCAGGUCACAGUCAUUUAUGUGGAUCCACUUACCUGGAAGUUAGAUGUAAAUGUUAUCUCCAGGACCUGGAAAUGCACUAAUAGUCUACUAGGUUUCUUAAUUGAAUUCUAUACUCAUACAUAGAGCUCACUCGGCAUAUUGCAGAGGACAGAGUCUAAAGGCUUAGGAAGAUGGAAAUAUUGGAAUAAAUACAUUAUAAAUAAAACUGCUUAGCCACUGCCUUGUCUUACCCUUUGGGAGGACCCAGAGGACCCAUCAUUCACCAAAGCAUGAAGAAAUGCGUCAGGGGUGCCUGGGUGGCUCAGUCGACUGAGCAUCUGACUUCAUCUCAGGUCAUGAUCUUAUAGUUUGUGAGUUCGAGCCCCGCAUUGGGCUCUAUGCUGACAGCUCAGAGCCUGGAGCCUGCUUCGGAUUCUGUGUCUCCCUCUCUCUCUCUGCCCCUCCCCUGCCCAUGCUCUGUCUCUCUAUCUUUCAAAAAUAAACAUUAAAAAAAUGAUAAUAAAAAAAGAAAUGCAUUGGUGUGAGGGAUAACAGUAUGGAAAGAUCUAUGAUGGCUCCUCUUGGAUCAGAGGUAAUGAAGGGGAUGAUGCAAUGUAAUUGGGUACACUGAUCUUAAUGUGACUAGUAGGAAUCGCAGGAUUAUAGAGGACAUUACUAGCAAUUAAUUGUAGAAGAAGUGGUGGAUGCUAUUGCUAUAAUAAACCAUAGGACUUGAAUGGUAAUCAUGGAAUUUGGAUUUGAGGAAUCUGUGACAAUGUUUAAUUGAUGAGGGAGUCCCUAGUAAUAAAAUAUAUGGCAGCCUACUAAUGGACUGUUUGACAUAUAGAAGAGGAAAAAGUUUUGGCCCACAGUAAAGAAACCUAAUUCACAUUUUUGAAGUGGAUUUCACGCCUUCUAUACAAUUUCUAAAUUUGUUCAAAUCUAAAUUGGUUCAAAUGCCUCAAGUCUCUUAACGAAGGAGAAGUCCAGGUCUCUUUGUAGAAAGACAUUAUAAUAUGGAACUAUCAAUCCUGUAAAUCUUUUCCCAAGACUCCCCUGGGAGAUCUGAAGCCAUUUAUUAUGGUGACUGUGCAUUGACCCAAAGGUAAAUGCCCAGAUUUUCUGGAAGUUAUUAGGUAUCGUCCAUUAACUGAAGCUAAUCUGUCAAGACCCCAAAUAGCUUUUUGUUUUCAGAAGCAGAAGGUCUGGGGAUAAAUACUACGAUUAUUUCCUCAUUCAGAAAGUUUAGGGGAAUUAAUUUUCAGGAAGAGGCAAAAUACCCAUAUUGACAUUUUGACCUAUGAAGUGGGGAGAUAUGAUGGUAGAAAAGAUUGAAUAGAAAUCCCUGAAACUGCCUCCAACCCUUCCCUCCCUCUUCCCAUAAGAUCAAAAGUGAUAUUCAAUUCCUGGAGAUAUUGUAGAGAUUAGUAUCAGUAUACAAAUUUUGAGAAAUAAAAUGGUUACGCUUGCCAUAUAUUACUUAACAUUAGCCUAUUUGACUGAUACAAAAGCCAGAUGUAUUAUGGAGAAUAAUAGUAGCCUAUAAGCAAACUUAAUCAUGUAGUGAUUAUAUUUGCAGCUGUGCUGGGAUUCUAUUUUAAUAAGUGAGGGAGAUCAGAAGCAGUUUGCAUUUACAUGGCAGAGACUACAGUAUACCUUCAGUAUUUUGCCCAAGGGCUGUGCCACUCUCUUACUCUAUGUUAUAAUCUAGAUGGGCCUUCAUCAUCUUGUUAUUUUACUGAACAUCUCACUUAUCUACUAUACUACAUAAUGGUGACACUGUUAGCUGGGUCUGGUAAGUAGGAAGUAUAAAGCACUCAAGGUAUCUUAAUAAGAUGUAUGCAUUCUAGCGGUUAAAAUCUGUUAUGUUUCAGGGUCUAAAAUAUGUGUUGUCUGGUAGGCAUAAUGUGAUCUCUUUUCUGAAAAGCUACUACACCUUACACGACACUCACCACUUAGAAAAUGGUAUGCAUCUAAAACCAGUUAGGAUUCUGCAGCCAAUGCAUAUAUUUGGGGAUGGUCCUCUCACUCAUUUAUUGGCAAAUCAUAAGGUUACAAUUUUUGAGUGGGACCUCUAGGAAGAAAGGGCUCUGUGGCAGGUCUAAGUUGCAAUGCAGGUUACUCUGCUAUCUGGACCUAAUAAUAUGGGACACUAUAAAUAAAGGAAGUAUUUGUGGCAGAGAGAGGCUCUUUGAGCCUCUGGCAAAUUCAGUACGAAAAUCACAGCACAGGGUUCUGGAAUGAGGCCAUGUCCUUCUUUACUGACAAAUAUUUUCCAUUUGAAAAAUAACUCCUGGCUUGCUAGCUGGUUCUGAUAGACACUAACCAUUUGACCAUGGGAUAUAAAAUGACUAUGCAAUCUGAACUUCACAUUAUAUAUAAAGUAUUAUUUGACCAACAGAAUUUAAAGUUGGACAUAAACAAUAAAAUUGAAAUAGUAUCCGCACAUCCAGUCCUGAGCAUAUUCAUCAAUCUUUAGGAGCAGAUUCAUAUUGUAUUUGCUUCUCUUGUUUUGUCAUCUUUUCCUCAUCCACACUUAUGACUGCAUGGAGAGUUCAAAAUGACUACUUAAUUGUGGAAGCAAAGCAUGGGCCUGAUUUAUGGAUAGAUCUCCAUGCUUUGCUGGCACCAGAUGAAGAAGGACAAACAUUACACAACAAUCACACUCAGUGGUGACCUUGAAAGACAUGUGUGAUGGAGUCAUUGUUACUCCAUGAUAACGUUAACAGCUGAUGGGAUUUCAUAGGUCUCCCAAGAUGAGGACAUGUAGUUUUCAACUGGAUGAAGGAAAAAAAAUGAAUGGUGAGGGGCAAAACAUGUAGGUUUUGUUGAAUAUAUUCCAUGUGAAAUUACAGAUCAACUUUCACCCUUCUAAAUUUUGAUCUCUGCCCUGGAAGAAUGGUUUGUGUGGGCUACAUCCCAGGCUUCUCUGGCUUUCAGCUGAGGCUGGCCAGUAGAGAUCCCAGGCAGGUGAUCAGAACGAGAGCGAGCAUUUAUUCCCAUGGCUCUUUUCUUGUGAAAUCAUUGCAAAUUAAUUUAAAUUUGACUCAACAUCACUUUAUUUCAAGGUAAUUUAACUUUUUUCUAUAUGACUCUUUUCUUUUAUGUCCUGAUAACUGGUCCUUUCCCUUGUCCUUUUAGGCCUAUGGGUAAUGAUAGCACUGUUCUAACCAGUUCUGAGUUACUGCACAACCCUUCUGGUUCAGAACCACCCUACCUACACCUUUGUAAGUAGGACCUUAAUUUAAAAAAAUCUUCUAAAAAUUUCCAAUUUGAGAGUGCCAUCUGUUUCCUACUGGGAAAUACACCUCGGGCAGUCUUCUUCCCUCUUAACUCCACUCUGUUCAUUAUUUAGAGCUCAUGCAUUUUCAAGUGACAAAAAUAUUCCAACUAACCUUGCUUAAGCUGAAAAAGCAUAGGGAUUUAUUGCAUCACUAGAAAGUCCAAGGGAUAAUUCUGUCACCAGGCAUGGUUGAUUCCAAGAGCUCACAUGAUGUUGGCAGGGUUCUCUCCUCUUGGCUUUAGUUUGUGUUGCUUUCCUUUUUUAGGCAAGUCCUUUCCACAAAGUGACAAAUAUGGACACUGGCUGUUCUGGCUUAUGGUGGCUUUACAGAUUACAAUCCUAGGAAAAAGAGCGUGAGAGAUACUGCAAACAUCCUAACACACAUUGUGAUGUGAUUCCAAUGGUGAACUGUUGGGUGUAGUUGAGGUGGCUUUCCUGGCUGUCAUGUUGGCACUCACGUAGAAUAAAUGAACAAACUCUUCAGUCUGGCAGAGGAGUGGCUGUGAAUAGAAAAGAACAUUGCCUGGAUCAGAGGAGGGCCAUCUCCCAGCUCUCCACUGGAGCUGAUUCUCUUUGAAGUAUAUACUUGAAAUCAAGGAAGAAUGUUGAUAAUAGAGGGUAUAGGGCAAGCCAAAGGCCAGUUUCUCUUUUAAUUGGAACACCCCUCUUGCUAGAAUAGUGUCCCUUGUCUGCCUCAGAAGAAAAACUGUUUUGGUAAAUCCAUUUGGAAUGGCCUCUCAGCCUCAAUCAGAUCACCAAACUCAAUAAUAUUGUGAAGAGGGAUUCUCUUGGGUGAACAGUGAAAUGGAACUGUUCAAAAGACUUCAUGAAAGGCACAAAAGCCCGUUGCCAACCUUGCGUGUCUCUCUUUUUGGUAACCUUGCUGCAAAUAUAACUUGGAGCAGUUUGUAUGAAUCUUUGGGGUGACAAUGGAUGUAAGGAAACAAACUUGUCUGGGAUAGAGGAUGUAUUGCACCUUCUGUGAUAUGAAAUGCAUAAUUCAGCUGGAUUAUAGCAGCAGAGGGAACAGACAGGUAUUGAUCCCAAGAGUUUUCUAAAAAUCCCCUGGAGGGGUAAUCUCUGUAUCAUUCUUUCUCUCAGGGAAUUAGACCUUUGAGAGAAGACUUUCUGGGAGAAAUGAUAUUCAAGCUGAGAACUAAAGUAGCUGUCUAGAAGAUAGGUGCGCUCAUUUGAUUUGAAAAUAGCCUCAAGGAAGCAUGAAUAGCAUGAGAUCAAGCGUCAUGAGCUCAUCAGAUUCACAGGUGGUUCCUCUUUCCAGAUUUGCAACAUGACUAAUGGUUGGGAUAGUUGAGAAUAGUCCUACCUCUUCCUUAACUAUAUUCUUAAUAAUUAUCUCACUACUGAUACAAAGCAGAAAUAUCUGCUGAGUUUAUGUGUAGGAUAUUAAAUUUAAAAACCUAGUUGAAACCUUUUUGCAAGAAGGAAACUAGAAUGAAAGUAUCUAGCAGGGCAACUGGUUUAUAAUUGAAGAUAGUUUUUCUUCAUAAAGAUGACACAGACAACCCUUUAUUCUGAAGGAUUAGUUGGAUAGUUUGACAAACAUUUGAUUUCAUCACUCAGCACUGGUUCUGAACUACUGAUAUUUUAUACUGUUGCUCUGUCUUCCUAGUCCUCUUUUCAGUUUUGGGUUUUUGGGUUACUGAAUCUCAGGAUUGGGAUCCCUACACUGUUUGGACCUAGUCUGUAUCCAUUUAACAGUGACUGUUGAGCAUUUGAAAGGUGGUGAAUCUGCCCUGAGAUAGGCUAUAAGUGUAAAAUGCACACCUCUUUGCAAAGGCUUCAUUUGAUGGAGCUCCUGGGUGGCUCAGUAGGUUAAAUGUUCGACUCUUAAUCUUGGCUCGGGUCAUGAUCUCAUGGUUCGGGAGUUUGAGCCCCUGCUUUGGGCUCUGUACUGACAGCACAGAGCCUGUUUGGGAUUCUCUCUCUCUCUCUCUCUCUCUCUCUCUCUCUCUGUGUGUUUCCCCUUCUUUUACUCUCGCUCGCACUCUCUCACUCUCUGUUUCUCAAAAUAAGUAAAUAAAUUUAAAAAGUUCAUUUGAAAAAAGGAAUGUAUUCUUUUGUAGUUUUUAAAAACCAUUUUUGUUUUUUCAUGUGUAUGUUGAAAUAAUGAAUUUUUGUCUGUUUCCUUCUCGUUUUUGAUAUGACUGCCAGUAAAAUCUAAGUUACAUAUGUGGCCCACAUAUUGCUGAGACUUUAGACAAAGUUGUCAUAAUUGUAGACCUAGUGAUGUAAUUUUCUCAGACAUCAGUAAAUAUGUGAGCUUUAAUAAUUCUAUUAGCUGAAGACAUUCUGAUAAUGUGUCUCCAAAUAUGUACCUAUUAAAUUCUUAAAAUUUUUUUUUUCUUAUGAAGUUAAGAUGUUGAAAAAAUAACUUGUUCUUAAGUUUUUGGUGACUGACCGACUUCUCGGUAACAUAACAAUAAUUUUUGGUAAUUCCAGGCAGGGUUGGUAGGGCCAUCUAAAAUUUUCAUGUCUUGGGAAAGCAAAAAAUGUUAGCUUCUCUGAUGGAAAUGGCUGUGAACUAAAGUCAGAAGACCUGGAUUAAAGCCAAGGCUUACUUGGCCACUUACAUGAUCUCCAGUAAUAAAUUAUCUUGCUGGGAGCCAACAGUGUGUUUCCAUAUCUCUAAGAAGGGAAAAAUUAAUAAUAGCAGUGCUACCUAUCCACAAGGUUAUUGUGGCAAAUGGAAUCAUAAUGGUUAGAGUGUUCACUAAAAUCUUUUGUAAGGUGUUAUUACAUAUAUAAAGUGUGAUUUUAUUAUCUUGUGAUAUAUGGACAGUAAAAUCAUAUGUAUACUUAUUUAAAUUUUUUUUAAUGUUUUAUUUAUUUUUGAGAGAGAGAGAGAGAGAGAGAGAGAGAGAGAGAGAGAAUGAGUGGGGGAGGGGCAGAGAGAGAAGGAGACACAGAAUCCGAAGCAGGCUCCAGGCUCUGACCUGUCAGCGCAGAGCCUGAGGUGGGGCUUGAACUCGUGAACUGGGAGAUCAAGACCUGAGCUGAAGUCGGAAGCUUAACUGACUGAGCCACCCAGGCACCCCAAUAUAUGUAUAUUUAUUUUAAUAUGUUUUUUGAAGGAGAAAAAAACAUAAGUAGUAUUUAUUUGGUAGAGCUCUUGCAGAGCCUAAACUGAUAUUAACACUUAUUCUCUGCCCCGGAUUCCAGCCAGAGAUAAUGACCUCAACUAUUUCUGUCUUCAGUUCUUCUGGGGCUCAUCACUACAAUUGUAAAUAAUAAACUUGCAUCUUUUUUCUGUAGACAGUGGCUAAUUAAGCCUGGGCUAUGAAUAAAAAUUUAGCUCACUAACACUAUCUCCCAAGUUAAAUAACCUGUAUCAUUAUUUGAUGCUUUCCUUGCUUCUCUUUUUAACCUUAAAUAAUAUAAUGAAACCUAUUGUUCUUCUUUUCAUUAAUUUCGACAGCGUCUCUGGGUCUCUCCCUAUGUAAAAUACAGGCAUUAGUGUCCCUACGGCAUCUCUCACCUCUCCCCUUUCCCUCGUCUUGUAACUUCUUCUAAUUAGUUAGUUAUUAGUUAGUUAUUUUGUAUGUUCAAAGUUUUGGUUCAACCUUAAAUGUUGUCUGAGUAGCUCCAAAAUUGAGAACCUAUGAACGCAACACAUCUUACAUUAUUAUGAUUAGAUAAUGUGUAUUCACAGCAGGAUCCAGGAGUGAGGUUUGCUUUCCCUGGAAGGGUCUUUGGACAAUUCUGCUGAGGCUUCCUCCUUGUGGAGCUAAAUGCCAUGCUUGGAGAGAAAAAGCCGUAUGCUAUUCUAUUCCAACAGGCAGUGCUUGUAACAGGUGAUCUUUACAGCAAAGAUGCACUUAAGUCAUCGGAGCUUGUACAUUCAUGGGGAUUUUUGCCUACCUGAAACUUUUCUAGAGAGUAGUGGAAACCUGCCUCCUAAUGUCCAUGACAGGAAAGUACAGACUGUAAUUGGUUAUUAUUGUUGUCCUUGGGAUAAAAGAAGCAGGAAGAUUACCUCAAAAGACAGAUCCAGUGAUCUGUAGACCUCGACCCUGGAUUAGUUUUCUAAAAUCCAACCCUUUUAAGAUUGGGGCAGAGUGAGAUGAGUUACCAAAAAUCUCAGGUCUUUGAAACAAUUAAGUAAAGAGACCCAGGUGAGUGGAGUUUAAAAAUCCAGUGUAGGUGAUAGUUGAUUAUUAAUUAAUAUUAAGUUGAGUAGAAAGAUGAGUGGAUUUUUCUGGAAAUCCUUAGAGUGAUGUUUAUUUGUUAAGGGAAUGAACCUUUUAUUGCUUUAGUAAAAUUCCUUAUUAAUUAAUUGGGCUCAGCAAAGAAGGGAAUCUUUUUUGAUUUUUGACCCAAAGUACCCUCUCAAAUAGACCAAGACAUUAGUCAAAAUAUAAUUCUGUGUCAUUAAAUUGUUUCACUUGAAGGCUGCUGUGCAAAAUAUCAAACUCACAUACAUUCCUUUGGAAAUAACUGUGCAUUUCCCCUUCCUCCUUGCAUUAAAAAAAGUCAAAAAGCAAAAUAAAAAAACAUUCAGUUGCAUCUUCCCUUAACUGUUUCUGGCCCCAUAGCAUACUACUUGCCUGAAAUACAUUUAGAGUUUCCUCAAAACCUAUAGAAAAAAAGAGGCAAAACUCUUCCAGGAUAUGGCUUCUAUUUAUGUUGCAACCUUGUGUACCUAAUUACUUGUCUGUAUUAGCUCUCUGCUACAUUUAAUUUUUUUGUUGUUGACGUUUUGAAAUUAUUGUUUUUCAUGCCUGGGUUAUAUGCUAGGCAUUGUGUUAAAUGAUUUGCAUGCAUUACUUUGCUAAUCUUAAUAUGGCCAUUUUAGAAUUGAGAGGCUAACUCAUGGAAGCUAGACUUACGCUCCUGUCUAACUCAGAGCUCAUCGUUUAUUUCACCCCUGUGCGCAGUCCCCACUGAAUGCCACUUGGAGCACAAGUAGUGUCACAUAACACUUGGUGCCCAUUUAUUUCAUCACUUCAUCCCGCCUGCCUGUAUUAAGCAGUAGGAAAAAAAAAAGCCCUCCCCUUUAAGCUAUCUGUCUUCUGUUAUGCCAGACAAUAAAUUUAUGGACAAAAUGAUCACUUAUGAUGUCUUUUCAUCACUCCUGUGCCUAAAAUAAUACUUCGGGCUAGUAGGUGGAAAUAAAACUUUAUCGAUGGUAACAAUGGUAAUAACUAUUAGCCUUUGGUAUUAAUAGCCAAUUGCAAUUUCUGCUCCGUUCCCACACACAUGUCUUAAAGCUUCAACCUUUGAAAUCUUCCCACACUUCUCAAUCCAGACAGUUCGACUUCACUUCCACAUUUCACACUCUGAAACUUCACAAGAGUGGGAGGCACAGCUAUCGAACUCUUCUUUCGAAAUAAAAAUUCAUGCCAUUUCUGGGGAGUGGGUCGUAUCCCAAUAAUAGGAUGGAGGGGAGAGGGAGCAUAUUUUUCUAGGAUGCCACAGUUUCCUCCAAUACUUUACUGAUUAGUAAUUCUUAGGUAACAGAGGCAUUUAUGGCCAACUGCCUCUUGCAGCCCUCCCAUGACCAACAGUGGUACCGCACUCAGCGAGUAAGUGAGCUUUGCUGCAAAACCAGAGAAAACCUCAUCUGUGUCUCCUCUAUCAAAUCGCCUGAGCUCUUUGAAAUAACUCAAUGGCAUUGCAAUGGGAACAGCGAUGUCAUAGCUGACAGUUUUUAUUUUAAAUGCUUUCAUUUGCUUUAGUUUUAGUUCCAAGCAAAAUGCUGUAAAUCCUGCAUGGUGCGUACACUUAUAAUUUAAAUGCAGCAUUAUUAUACUGUAUUGCAACACCAGCAGAAGACAGCCCUCGCUCUGCUGAUAGAUUGCCAGCACACCAAAAAAGCUCGACCUUUAUGAGAGCACAUGCCCACUCUGUCUCUGUCUCCAUCUCUCUGUCUCCAUCUCUAUCUCUGUCUCUCUCUUUCACACACACACACACACACACACACACACACACACACACACACAGGCUUGGUUUAUAUUUGUGAGCACGGAAGUGGACAGACAUCACAAACACCUGAUACUAGAGGAGGUUAAUGAAGACCGGGCCCUAAAUUUGAGUGUACAAGUAAGGUUUUGUACCUUAAAACGUUGCAAACGUUAUCUUGUUUAAGUGUGCUUAAAUUGAAAUGGCCCAGCCUUACAUUUGGCCGACAAAAUAAACAUGUACCCCAUAUAGAACAAAUCUGUAUUUAAAAAAAAAAAGUUUUCUCAAGUUAAUCAUCCUUAUUGCCUUUUGCCCCAUUCUCAAAACACAUCCCUGGGCACCUUUUGGGAUGAGCACUGGGUGUUGUAUGGAAACCAAUUUGACAAUAAAUUUCAUAU